CUCCGCGGCGGAGAAUCGAACCCCGGUCGCCCGCGUGACAGGCGGGAAUACUAACCACUAUACUACCGCCCUUGA
rnacentral:tRNA from 1 species